CUUGAUGGAAGAGACAGAAUCUGACCCAUCUGCAUUUAGGACAAAAUAUAUACAUAUAUUUUCCAGUAAACCCAUAGCUAUGAAGUAGUUCAAGGUCUGUUGACUGCAUAACAGUUCAGUAUCACUCCGCUACACUAUUUCAGUUAUUUUGUUUUGUGGUGCGUCGUGGUACUCUCCUGAAUGUGUGACAGAGACUGACACAGACUGUACAAGGCUGACAUUGCAGACUAGUGAGACUGGGUUGCACUCACACUAGGUUGCUACAACAUGCAGACACUUUCUCCAGUGUUGCUGGAGCUCUGAAUCAUGGGUGACAUCUUGACUUAGCAGAGCUCUCCAUACAUUCUGGAUUCACCUAGACAACAAACUGGUCUGCGACUGCAGCCUCAAGGUUAACCUGUUACUAUGGAAACAAGUCAGCCAAUAAAAAAACAGCAGACGGUUGCUAUGUUGACUGCACCCUUUUUGUUUUAAGGAUGACCUAUUUUUUUUUUCCAGAGCAAGUCGGAUGCAUGCUUGUGACACCCUCAAACAUAAACACACACAGGGACAGAGUAAGAGAGGUAGGACAGCAGGUUACACUUUUACAAACACAAGUUCAUGUGUUCUGGUAGAGGAUUUGAAUGAAAUAAAAUAAAAAAUCCCAUGACCUCCUCCAA